rnacentral:lncRNA from 1 species
UUUUUUAAAAGGUUAAUUUUAAGAGUCAUUUUACCUUUUUGGAUUGACAAUUAUGCAUCAACUAAAAAUAAAAUACAAUAAACUAAAAAAUAAAGCAAAUAGUAAAAAUAAAAAAAUAAAAAGAAUAAUAAAAGAGAGGGGCACACUAUCAAUACAAAAGGUAAAAGAAUUAAAAAACUAAAGAAAAUGAAAGAAAAAACAAAAAUAAAUAAAUAAAGCAAUAAUAAAAAUAAUAAAAAAUAAAAGAUAUAUAAAAGAUAAAAAUAGACUGAAAAUUGGGAGUGUAGCUAGGAAAAUGCUCUAGGUCCAAAGAAGGGAGCCUCAUAGGGGUGCGCUGA